AUCGAAUGUAGCCAGAAAUUGUCAGCGAGUUUUUCUCGUCAAAUUAAUCUAUAUUUUUAUUUGCAGCGUAUUUAAUCUGUAAUUUGAACUUGUGGAAUGUUCUGUUGCGAAAUAUAAUUUUCGACAAGUGGAAGUUCCAGAAUUUCAACUAUUUUUCAACCAAUUAACAUGCUUAGAAUAUAUCACGUGUUGUAGUAAUUCGAUCUGUUGAUAACAAGCGCUAAGUUCGAUCUUUUGAGAGCAAAUAUUCAAAGAGGAAAGGAUUUUUAUUCAAAUUUUCUACUUAUAAAGUUCCAAAGACCUAAUAAAAUACAUGGAAUUUGUUUUCAAAGGUAUGUCUAUUGUGUAUUUACUCAUUUGUAUGCGGAUAGUUACUUGAUAUACUGUAUAGUUAUGUUUUUAAAUCGAAGGCUUGUAUUUGUAUUACCUGUAAUACUUUUUUACCGAAGGCAUCUAAACGUUCAGUUGUAAAUUUUCGAUUAAUUUCUAUUAGCAGAAGUGUAUAAAUCUAAUCUACACUCUACCUAUCUGUGUUUUAAGAAAAUCGUAUAGCUUAGUUGUGUGAUAUACGUGUAUGCUAUAUUUCCUGUGAAAUAUUUGCCAUUUAUAGUUGGCAUGCAUUGUAUACUUACAAAUCACAUAAAUGCAAUGUGGUUUGUUUGAAGUCAAUCAAAAUUACGCGACCAAGGACGAAAAUGCUAGAGUUGACAUGUCAGUUUUAUGUCGUUCGGUCACGAAGUUUAAACUUCGAGUUUUGCGGUUCCCUUGUCGAUGUAUAUGCUUUGUAUGCUUUAUAUCAACAGCCAGUACAAUGAUUUUCAAGAUAUUUUACAAACAAAAUCAUAACAUCACCGUUAUAGUCUAGCGCGCGUGUUUUAUACUGACAGCUAAAAUUCCAGCAUAAAUUGUUAUUUUUCAAACUUUAAAAGUUAUUUACGGCACAUAUUUCUGUUGUGAUGGUUUGUAUUGUGCUUUAGCUUGUAUACGUAAGUUAUCUCACUCAUUUUUGUUCAGUUUUGGUAUUACUGUCGUUCCAAUUGAAGUGUUCCUCAAAUAUUGAUUCAAUACAUUACCUCGGGCUGACCAAUUCAUUUGAUCAAGUUCCUCAAAAUAUUCAUACACUUCCUAGUAUAAUUGUAAACUUCCUGUUGAAUAGUUUGAAUGCACCAAUCACCUUUGUUGUUUGUGCAACUAACCAAUCAUAAAUAGAAAGGAAGUGACCAGAAAUGAUCAAAUACUUGGAAUUGGCUCUUUCACAGGAAGUGUAUGAAUAUCUCGAGGAACUUGACGAAAUGAAUUGGUCAGCCUCAUAGAUAUCUUAUAUAAACUAGAUAGCACAUCUCUUUUAGUAAAAUUGAAACCAAGAAUAUCCCAGCGGUUACCCCCAUUUGAAUAGAUGGCGGCCAUGUUGGAGCUUCCCACUCGCUAAUAAACGCUUAAAAAAUAACAAUAACUUUCAUCAUUUAAAUAGUUUGAAAAUGUAUUUAUAAUAGGAUUAACUUCAUGUUUAAGUUCCCUGUUUAAGAAAUAGGAUACAUACGAAUCUUCUCAUUUCAUGGGAAGAUCCUGAGCCUGCAAUCACGGCUUCAAUUUUUGAAUUGCAGAAUAAUUAGAUGCGCUAUCUAGUGUAUAUAAGAUAUCUAUGGUCAGCCUGAGGUAAUGUAUUGAAUCAAUAUUUGAGGAACACUUCAAUUGGAACGACAGUAAAUACGGUUUAAAAUGCCUUUUGACAGUUUGUUUACGUUUGCUAUUUUUAGCAGUUUUUGUGACAUAGAACUGACAUUUGAAGUAAGAGUAUUUUUCAGGGAGGUCGCGUAAUUUUGAAAACGGGUGUAAUAGCAUAUAGAUAGCAUUGUAAUAGCCCAUCUCCCAAUAUUACCCAAUGUAUGGCAUGUGCUUGCUAUGGUAUUAAACCCUCCUAUCGGUCAUCCUAAAACAUGUGUGAAGAGCUGCUUAUAUGGUCAAGAAAGCCAGCCCAGGUAGCCCGGCUAUAGCUUGCUUUCCCUGGAUGAAUGUCUGUUUACAUGAGCCUCUUUAGAUGGACAGGCUCGCCAAAUCGAAUCAACCAGUCUGAGUUUUAUAAUAGAAGCACAUUUUCCAAUACGGUAACCAACAUCACACUUUUGCAGACAGUUUCGAAAUGUAACUGAUAAAAACAAUUACCGAGAUAUUUUAACCCUUUAAGUGGCAAUGCGCCCUACUUUAUUAUUUUACUUUGUCUAAACAUCGGACAAUUUUACUUGUCAGGAGGAGAAUCUGUCCCUCAAUGGGUUAAUCAGACUAUCUGCCCUUAAAUUAAAGAUGCCCAGAUUUUUGCGGCACUUAGGCAACUUGCCCAAUCGGGCAAGCAAGAUAAAACGUUUACUUGCCCGUCAUGAAUUUCACUUGUCUCGGGCAAUUAGUGGCCAAGUGUUAAGUUACACCUCUGCUUGCUUUGUACACUAGAAAACAACCAAAAAUAGCAAAUUUAUUGUCACUCAAUAAUUUGCUUCUGUUAUAUAUCAAUCUUAUAUAUUUUUUCUUAAUAGUGGUUGUAUUUAAUAUGGAUUCAUUAUAUCCUGUGAUGCUGAAUGAAAAGUUAUCGAAGCAUCCCAGGAGAAGGCAAGUGAUCAUCUAAACAAGUGGCAAUAUAUAUAUAAUCAUUAAUGGCAUUCUAAGUACUUCAUGGUCUAUUUGGAAAAUGUUAUUCUUUUGCUGGAGAGCAUGUUUACGGAUUACCAAACCAUGCAAGGAAAGGACUAGGAGUUGCCGACUGGUGGUAUAGUACAGCUUGUUUUGUACUAAAAUUUAACUAAUGGACUUGCACGACAUUAGACAUAAUAUGUAUGCUUGAUUGAGCACUGACACUACAUGCAGUGUAUUUUACUUGUAAUUCAAGAUUGAACAGAAUGUUUAACCCUUUAAGUGGCAAUGUGCUCUACUUUAUUAUUUUAUUAUUUUGUGUCCAAUGCAAGGUAUGCUGCCACUCAAUGGGUUAAAGUCUUUCUGUAGAUGGAAAUAUUGAACAAUAACUAUGUAAUAGCUAUUGUGCCGGCAAUGAAACCCCUGUGAUUCGGAUCAGCUCCUUAAUUGCAAAGAGUCGGUCAAGCCCCAAGAGUCAAUGAAGGUCACCAGGAGUUUAUGUAUAUAAUAC